rnacentral:lncRNA from 1 species
UCAGAUUCUCCCUAUUAACUGUCUAUCAUAAAAUGAUAGUAUGGAUUCAAAGCUAUGUACUGAUAUAUUUGAUGUGAGACUUGUCAGUAAUAAAUAGACCUGUAUAAUUCUCGUUUGUUGUAUGUUAAGUUAGCACAACCUCGUUAGAUUUCUUGUUGAAAACAAGAUAUACGCCGGGCUAUUCGAUGGAAUACAAUACGACCGUCACGAGUUAAAACAGACGAACACGCAAUUUUAUUCAAAUGUUUGGUUGAUAUGUUUCACCAAACAAAAUGAAGGGAAGUGAGGGGUUCCAAAUCAACAAAAGGCUACGAAUGAGUCUGAAAUGACAACGAAUUAAUGAACGACGGUCGACAAAAGGAGACAUAAAGGCCGCACCCAGCAGGCAGGUUGCAGUCUGGCCUUGAGAAAAAAGUCAAUACUAGUAUAUCAGUUCGGCGAAACAGGCAUUCAGGUCAGACAUGCAAACCUCCGGCCCCCACAAAAAAUACGCCCG